rnacentral:rRNA from 1 species
UCGAACGAUGAAGGGGAGCUUGCUCCCUGGAUUAGUGGCGAACGGGUGAGUAACACGUGAGCAACCUGCCCCUAACUCUGGGAUAACGCUUCGAAAGGAGUGCUAAUACCGGAUAUGAGCCUGGAAGACAUCUUCUGGGUUGGAAAGUUUUUCGGUUAGGGAUGGGCUCGCGGCCUAUCAGCUUGUUGGUGAGGUAGAGGCUCACCAAGGCGAUGACGGGUAUCCGGCCUGAGAGGGCGACCGGACACACUGGGACUGAGACACGGCCCAGACUCC